rnacentral:lncRNA from 1 species
CUAAGCCAAGUCUCCUUCAAAAUGGUGGAGUGCAGAGAAUCAGAGAGUGGUUGUAGAGGGAAGUAGACAACACAGCAAAUAGUAGCUGUCCGUAACUCACUCCAGAUGCGUCUCUGGGACCACUGCAUAUCCUUAGGAAGACAGCCUAUGGUUAGAGAUAGUCCUCAAUUCAGAGAAGGGAACUGUGUCACCUGGUGGAGCAAAUAACUUAAUCCCUCUGUGUCUGAUUUAUCAACCAAAACUGAGGCUAGAAAGUAGACAUGAGGAUGAUGAGUCAUCUUCAACUGCACCAAUGAGGACAAAUUAGAUCUUCACUGAAGAUAAAAGUGUCUGACAUCUACAUUUGAACCGAUCUUCUCUUAUCUGACGGGGAACGUGAACAGUGAUUAUCCACUUAGCCCAGAUCCAUUCUCUGAUUUUUAAAAAUGUGAUUUGCUAACACAUACCAGACUUCACAUAGGGAGAAGGUGUAAACAUGGAAUCCGUUUCUUGAAGAGCAUUUCAUACAACGCCCCUGAGGAACACACUUUGGAAAAUGUUCAUCCCUGUCCAACUACCAUGUUUGCGUGAGUUUAUGAUCUGCCUGCCGUUCAUCAGCCUUUGUUAUCAGAUGAGGAAACCAAGACACAGAGAAGAUAAACAACUUGCCUGAAGUCACAAAUGGCACUACAGUUGUGAUGAGGCAAUUGCAACAUUUGAAAAGACCCCAGGGAGUUUGCAUUAAAUGCGUUUCACAAGAGUGAAUGAUGGAACAGAACACCAUGUACAAAGACACAGUCAUCCAACACCCAAGCACAAAUGGCACAAGUUAAACAUGUGACGGCUUGAUGUAUGACAGGU